UUAGUAGAACACAAUAUGUAUAAGGUCGUAUCGUCGUCAUGAUGAUAUCAUUAUUAUUAUUAUAUCGUACACGUGUUGUGUUGAUGAUGACUCCGAAGGAUAAUAUAAAAAUAUAGGUAUAUAUAUAGAUUGUAUAUGAUAAUAUGCACGUACCUGCAUAUUAUAUAUUGACUGUUCAAUUUGAUCGAUUUGACGCUGUGCGUUCGGUACGAAUGUUUCUGAGAAAUUAAGUUUGAAAUAACCUCCCGUUGCAGGAGGACCAGGACCGCCGCUGUAUAGUAUAAGACUAUGGAAAACUCAAGAGUGUAGAAUGUAGAUAUACAUAUAGUUGCAAAAGCUCAAGAAAACCUCGAAUUAAAUAAUUCGAUAAGUAUAUUACGUAGGAUUCGAAACUGUAUUUUGAAAAGCGUGACCAAAUGUCCUAAACGAAUUAAAAUAUGUACGAAUCAUAAAUAAUUAUGUGGAGCACGAGUUCGUGAGCAGAUUUCAAAUAAUUACAACAUCGACACAAAAUUACCGUGUGACCAUGUGAAUACAUGGAUACUUAUUCAUUCGGAUUUAAAUUUUGAAGUGGUUGCCAAUAAUUACCUUCUUCUCUCAAAAUACUAUUGCCGUAAAUUCAUCAGGGAUUGAUCCAAAACGAUGAUUUAUGGAAGAUACAUAAUUUUGAAGUUUGAAUUUACGCCACAAACAUAAUAUUGUGAUAGACAAUACAAGAAACAAUUUCAAUUACUUAUAUCAGAAACUGAGCAGUUGUACAUAAAAAAUACUUACAAAAAUCUAAGAACACAUUUUUUAAAAAUAUACAAGGCGUGGAGUGCUGUUACCCACUUUGUUCACUUGAUGAGUAUACAAUCUUAGUCCAUUUGUGAUACUAAAUGACUAAACUGACUUAUGUUAGAAAAUUAUAAUCUGGUUAACCCGAGGUAUAUUUUCAUUACAAUUUCAACACAAUCCAAAAAUAUGCUAACCAUAUGUAGGGUGUAUUCACGUCCUCCAAUAUGAUUAUUAUUCGAUAUCCAAUAAUAUUUAUAUAUAUCGGUGGUUUUACCGUACCACAAGAUUUUGAACUGAAUUGAAUAUAUUUUCCAAAAGUACGCCUUACUUCACGCGUCUUGGCUUGCAUCUCUCCACCGUUCCUCCACAGCCACCACAAACCCUCAACCCUACCACCAUCGCGUACAGACCCCCUAAAUACGCUUUACAAGUUACAUGUAUACCGCAUCAUACAAGACCGUGUAAUAGUUAAUACGAUUUGUUUUUAUUUUUUUUUUGCUCUCCCCGACCGACGCUAAACGGAUCGGUCGUAUCGGCGGCGUCUCAUGAAUUUUUAUCGGAUCCCGGCAAAGUGUCCCCAGAGACGACCGCACACGCACACAUAUCAUUAUAUUAUAUACUCCACACACGACACACGCGACCAGAUGCAUAACAUUUAUAAGUAUACAUUGCACGCUUGGGCCGUACGCGACAGCCGCCCCAACUAUCGCGCAUAUAUAAUUAUUGCGGUCCGUCAAACCUGACACCCCGUCCUGCACGUAGUACAAAUACCGAAUGCGACCGUAAUUUUAUGAUAAUAUCUUUUAUCAACAUUCGCGGUGGUCUCCCGUAUUUUUGCGGCGGUCGCGGUUCUUUUUAUACAUUUUCCGUCGCUAAACGUCCGCAACCAUCAUCGAACGUAUUAUUACGACAUUUUUAUAAUAUCAUUACAAUAGCAGUUAUACCACUGCUACAGACGUCCAACGCGAUAUAUUAUCAAGCAAUAUAAUUAUACGAUUGCGUCAUCUAAUAAGUAAUCAGUGUGUGACGACGAUUGGAUUGUACGCGCGAAACUUAAACAGCGGCGAAGAUCGCCGUUACGCACAGUUAAUGCGGUUUAGGGACCGAGCUUGGGAUGGACCACUUAUUGUCGCCGCCAACUUUCAAAAUGUUGAGGAUGAAAACUUAUUUUGCGUUCGACAAGAAGUAUUUUACGUUAGCGCAAUAAGUUGUAUUACGUUGAUAAUCGUUUAAAAUUCAGUUUAACCAAUAAUUUUAAAUGCAAAAUUUAUUUACUUUAUACGGUCUAUUAAAUUUGAAUACUCUUCACAGUUUUCAUUGAAUAAAAAUUUCAUAAUACGUGAUUGAGACAUCUCCCUCCAAAGUUCUCUACCGUUGUUCAAUGUACCUAUUAUCUACAUUUUUUUUUUUUUUUUUUUGCUCCAUUCGUCGUUUAGCAGUGAUGCCGCAACUACCAUAUACGCACCAACUCGGUGUUCAUUAAAUCAUAUAAAAUAUAUUAUGUCAUGGACUCGGAACUAAAUAUUCUCUUUCGAAACACCGAAUUGUUCAGAAGAGCAAUUUAUUGUAAACUUUACAAUAUAUAAUAUUUUACGUUUAUUUCCUUUCAUAAUGAAUGCUCUUUAAUGAUUGUCAAAUCUAAAAAUUAUCAAUUUAUUCGACGUUACUUCUUGUAAAUUGAGUUGUUUUAAGAAAAACUUACCAACGUAAAAAAUACGAUAAUUAUUUAAAAAAUUAAUAGUUAAAUCUAUAUCUUAACGGUAAAAAUACUUUUCAUUCGUAAUAGAACAAAAACAAAUAUCCAAUAUAAGCACUGCAGUAUUAUACUAUAACGACGCGUAUGUAUAUUCACACAGACACAGUAUUCGUGUGUAUAACAUUUCACCAAUCGACUACUUCUAAUCAAACGCCUCCUUGUUUUGUCUGUAAUAUAUAUAUUUUAUUUCCUGUUGUAACAUCAAUAGUAAAUAUUAUGAGUAGGUAGUCAGGUCGUAUAAAUAUAGUACGAGUAUCGGAAUACAAAGUAUGACAGUAGAGUAUUCAGUAUAGUAUACAGCGAUAAACUAUUGAAUAUUAAUACAGUUUAUUUUGGUUGAACAAUGAAGGAAAAUAGGAAAAUAAGAAAGAAUCGGUCACAAUAUAAUUCAUAGUUUUAUCAAUAGACAAGCGAGAAAAACCAUUUCCAGAUUAUUGAAGUUCAUUUGUCUUAAAUUUCACUAAUUAUAAUAUUAAUAUUAUAUACUGGAAGAAUAAGAAAAAUGUGUUGGUUUUUAAUAAUUUAAUUUUAAUUAAAAAGUUGAUGAAGUGAUUAAAAGCUAUAGUGAGUACUUAUUUUUAUUUUGUUUUUUCU